UUCAAAGCUAGUUGAAGCCGGUACGCCGUGGUACGUUGCCUGCAGCGUGCAUAACCGUCCAUGAGGUGCUGCCAUAUUUGUUUAAAGGAAAACUGAGUUUUUUCAUUAUCAUAGAAAACAUGUCAUACCACUUACAGGAGGGAAUCUGAUUGUUUAGAAAAUAGACGUCCGACUAUGGGGGAUCACGUACGCGCUGAGCAGGUACACGGCUGGAGGGACAUUCGUGGGACGCGCUAAAACGCAGCUAUAAAAUAAACGUAAGGCUACGUGCGCCCUGGAAAGACUCCUGGUACCAGCAGCUAAACAAGUCAUGAGAGUUGUUGGCCCACUCUGCAUGCCGAGGUAUCCUGGCACGUGCUAUGACUUUCAACCCCUUCCUGAGCAUCUUCCACCAUCUACCACUUUCCAGAAUAAGUAUCAAAGAGAGACGAACCUUAGCCAAUUUCCUUGGGGAUGCUCGCGGUUAUCCCGUGGUAAAGGAGACUAGCGAAUUGGCAGUAACUGCAGGUGAAAAGUUUUUCUAUCCUUUUUGCCCUCGAUUAGGUAUAAAAAGAUCAUACGGACUUACAGCGUCGUGGCGUCAUAUUCUUCGGAGGAGUAUAAAAAUUCCACUUGGCCGUCUCGUUAAAGCGAGAUGCUUUACGGCGUCUUGGCUGAAUGCUAUGCUGGGCUUCUACUUCAUCCACUCUCCAGGGAAACACAUGGUUGGCACUUCCCCUUCUGUACCUAAAAGACUAGGGAGGUUUUAGGGCAAGUGUGACGGCGCUUUAAACAUUAAACCCACUGAAGAGGACGAAGGAGGAGAGAACCUUCAUUAGCCCGGAUCAACUAGUUCGGGUUUGGUUGCUUUGCCAAGAGCACACACGUUCUGGCUACAGGAGGGAAACUCGAGUUUUAAUCAGCGGCUCGGAUUUCGAAGACGACGCGUCGCCUGGAAUCCCCUACCCAUCAGAUAUGUACCGGUAGUAUCCUAGGAAGUGUCGUGGCUCAGUCGUUAUAUCCCUGACGAAGGUACUCCAGCACUCAUCCUUGGCCAAUGUUUGCAUAUACUUUUAGAUGCUCGAGCACGGGGAACAGAGAGAGAUACAGAUGAAAAGGGUGAAAGGGGCCAGCAGCGGAGGUCACCCUGGCAACCGACGACAAAUUGCCAGUGGUCCGUGUCAGCAAAAGGAGUCACAGCUUUACCUUGGAAUGAAUUCCUCGACAAAUUACUUGCAGACGUUAACGAAUGUGGAAUCAAUCGGACCGGGUGUACCAAUCGGAAAGCAGCGAAGAAGCUUGAUUCGCAUCGAGUCGCCAACCAGUCUGUAACCACGUGUGAAAUUUUGCCUUGUGUAAUUAUGCACGUGUCCGUGCAUAUCGUGCCAUUAAGUGGCAGCAUAAUAAAACAACUACUCCAAUCUCAAUGCGCGUGGGUGGCGACCUCUACUAAUGGGGUAGAAAAUGGAAAUGGUCACGCGUAACCACACAAACCUCAGUCUGUGCGCCAGCGAAGUCGACAUAUCAAGGGGAUAACCGUGCCUCGGCAAGGAUUUGACAUAAUCUGACGUGAGAUAUUGCGUUUGGUAUAGGGAGGCUCGUUUCUAUGCGAAUCGUUUGACUGCAGGAAGAUGGAUCUAUUGGGUCGCAGUACUUUACGGCUCCGGAUCCUUUCCGUACACUGACGAUCGCCAGGAUAACACAGAAGGACCACGUCCACUUGGCCCUCGUCACGUCACUUCGAUGUCCUGGACGUAUUUAGACAUUUGGACAGUUCACCCAGGGCGCCGAUGCAGGAUACCGAGUGAAGCAUGGCGAGACGAGGAGGAAGAAGAGGAGAAAAGGAAAGAAGAAAAAAGGAAAAGUACUGUCAUCGACUCGCGGAAGGCAUUUAUCGGCGCGUCGAAUCGACGUGCCAGAUUCGAUUUGCUCAUCGAAAUUUCAUAAUAGUCUACUUGCGUGCCGAAGCCCUCAACCGGAGGAGGACUCGAGGAUAGGAAUAUACACCACCCUUCCCGGAGUCUCCAGAUCGAUGUCGAGCACCUUAACGGUCCUUCUAUACCUAUCCGGCCAUCGCCUCUUCUACUUCCUCUUCUCUAUUUCCAGCCUUCCACAUCUUCGCCAUCUCCAGACUCUCUGGCUUCGUCGUGUAGCACAGGCUGUCCUCCUUACUCCUUGGAUAUCUUCUCAACCGCCCUUGCUCAACUCUUAUUCUCAACCCUGGCCCCCGCCAUCCUUCUGCGGCUCUCAGCAGGUUCAAUCGUCUACGGGGUGUCUUGAUACCCAUUUGACCAAUACACUUCCGCUUUGACUUUGCUUGGAAAUUUCAUAUUCUUUUCACACUACAGAAUAGUGUAUCUAUUGGCAUUCAAUAUUCGAAUACUAAUUAGCGUCUUGAAUUCAUUUUUGACAUUUGAUUAGACAAUCAGCAGCCACUGUCGCCAUUCUGCCGAUGUGGGUCUUAACGAGAUAGAGAAGAAUGCUUUGAAGUAGAUAACGAGGAAUGGGAGUUGGAAUUCUUUUGUGAGAAUUAUGGAAUUGAUUCAGGUUUGAAAACAGUCUCCAGACACCACCCGGUAUAGAGGAGCGCUUGGUGCAAAUAGACGAGAGGGGAUAGUUGGUAGGUACGAGGAAGUAUAAGGUGCCUUCACCUCUGAAACCCAGUGGAGCGGACAUGCGAUAAGGGCCCCCAACCCCAACUGGCACCCUGCUGGAGUGCAAGAGAGAAAGAGAGGGAGAGAGAGAGAGGAAAGGCCGAAGCGUCUAAAGGGUGAUCGGCGUCUCAAGGCAGACCUCAAGGAGCUCCGCAAUUUAUUCCGAUAUUUAGAGCAGGCUCGAAUUAACCCCAAGAUGGGGGUGUCUGUCUCCUUUCUCCAACUUCGCUCCGGUUCCACUCCUUCGACUCUUUACUUCUCUUCAUCCAGGAUUACCUCACCCAGCACUUUCUCUCCUCUUUCAAUAGCUCCGGGCACCUUCGCACCCUUAUGUGCUUUGCCCUCUUUCACCCUUACUUCACCUCGUUUCUCACUUUUCACUCUUGCUCGAUGCUCUUUUCCAUAAAUCUGGCUCCGUACACAACCCUUGAAUAUUCAGCAACCAACUGGUUAGUCUACUAGUUCAUUGCUGACUCUACGAUCAAUGAUCCUAAUUAAUUUUCUCAUAGCUUAGGCAUUUCCGGUAUGGCUGCGUCCGGUUCUUCAAGAAAGAUCCGAAUAUCAGAGUCCUUGAGGUCUCCUUGUGCGGGACAUGUCUCUGAAGUUCGAUUUCUUCGGGCGCACUCUCCUCCCUUACCUAGGGAUCGCUUAGGGGUUGUUCCUGAUCUGGUAGCUUCUGUAAGACAAGUCCGGCGCUUUAGGGGCUGGAGGAUAUGCUCGAGGAUCCUCGUCCUGGUGGAUCUGAUUCCGUCGUAGGGUAACCUCAGCCAAGUUGCAAGGGAUGACUGGCGCUAGCCGUAUAUAAGGGUAGUUUGCCGAGGAGUGGAGGUUGCUACGACCAGCUCGCGGUUCCUCAUGGUACAGUUGCCCGUGUCGUUGAUCUAGAGCCUGCAAGGGAUAUGAAUACCGGCACGGUAGAACGCUGACUUAUUUAUUUAUAUCGGGUCGGUAAAUCUCAGCGGCGUUUAACCGUCGUCUUUCACGAUUUCUUUUUUUCUUCCUUCCCUUAUUCUUCACUUCCGGCAUCUACCGUUAUCCUCAUCAUCUACCUUCCUCUCAUUCUUCUUCUCCCGUUCGUCCCCGCCGACUCCACUUGGAACUGCCCGAAGCACGAGCGGCGCUCAAGCGAGCAACCAGACCCAGCAGAGGAGGCACACUGGAAGGCCCUCGGAAUCCAAGCGGAUGAAGGGCUGUACCAUUAUCCUGUAAGUCAAACACCUGCCAACCCCUCGGAGGCACAUCCUACCAUCUCCGAGAAGGAUCCAGGUAAUGAUCCCAGGACAAUAUGAUCAAGAACGAAGGAGGAAGUCGAAGGAAAGAUAUUUAUUGCCCAAGGCACCAGGAAAAUGAAGCGACUAUCGCCUCUCUUCCUGAGAUCGAAGAUACCCCUGAUGCUGGGCACGAUACUCGUGAUGCUCUCUUGACUCCUCGGCCUUCGCCCUAGACAUAUAUACGUCUACCGCAUAUCCCGGAGGCUGUAGGAAACAGCAAGAGGAGAAAACAAACCCCUCCGGGACAGGAGUUCCUCCAGAUAGACACCCUCUGCGAUGCUGCCAGGAUGUGUCUCGCAACCCGUACGAGAUCACGACCUUUUACUGCCUUUGGCUUUUACUUUAUUUUUUAUCUCUUUACUAUUCCUUCCUCCUCCCUGGCUUUUCGCCUCCCUAAACCAUCACAUUGGAAGCAUCCUGAUUUCACAUCAGCCUUUACUCCCAUCACGUCACUUUCUGCCUUUCUUUUUUUAUCUCCUCGCCUUUUUGUUCCAUCUAACCCAAUAUCGAUGCCUGUCGCCCGUGUAAUUCCUUCGUACCGCAGGAUACGUUGGAACCUUAUCUGCUUAUAGCUUUCCAUUACUAUGUAAUAUCGCGAAAAGGGGUGAAAGAAUUUGUAGAUAUUUUUUAUACACUACGCGUUAACGUGGAUCUUAUAUUAAAGGUAAACAUCUCGGACGGAUUUGUUUUCACGAAGAGGGAAGAAGGUCUGAGAUUUUGGAUUUUUGUAUGCUUAACGUGAGUGCGAGAGAGACGGUCCCAUUGGUACUUUCAUGCGCGAGAGUGAGACAUAUAUAUACAGUCGACGAAAUUGCGGAUAGAUACCUUUACAAAGUUAUGGCCGUUCAAAGAUGCAUCCGUAGCGGAUCCAAUUCGCGGAAGGGUAUCUAUUCUAGAAUUUCAGAUCGACGGUAUGUCUGUCCUUCUCUUUCACGCGUAAACGCACAUAGGAGCCUCUCUCUCGCACUCACGACGGAUAUGGAAAAUUGCAAAAUCUUAAAGGGGUACCCUCGGGAUCCUUUCCGUCUCUCUUCCUGUAUAUACCUUUGCUCCGUAUAACUGUACUUGGACGUAUGUGCCUAUGCGUGCUUUUUUUAUUAUUUAUCUUUUCUUGAAACGGCUUGUCGUGAAUAUUAUCAAGGAUCUCGAAAUAUCUCAAUAGAGUAAAAUCCAAUCCUACAUAGACUCGUUUAUCUUGGAAAAUAGGUAAUCUUCCACGUUAAUCGGAAAUUUUCUUGUAGCUAAACGGCUUCUGAAAUCGAAGAUCUCAUUCCCGGGAGCGUGAUGAUAUGGGAUAUACCUACGACUAUAUAUACAGAUGGGGUAUUUAUUGGAUGAGAUGGGGGGGAAAAAAAGUUUGCGGAGAUUCGUGUUUUUCUUUGCCCGACUCUAUCCGGGUUAAAGGAAACGAUGGGAGAAUCACGUAGAGGAUGUUAAAGAGAGCGAAAGGGAAUGGUGAGGAUGCGGAUGCGGCUUUACGAGCUGGAGCAAAAGACGCUUUUCAAGAAAAUCUUUGGUCUACGAUCGAACGCGUCUGUCUUUUCCUGGACCCACUGAGAUGCUGAGAGAGGACCAGAGUGGAGAAACGUUUGCUAAGAUAAUCGGCAAGGAAUGGGAAGCAAGGAAGGAUCAGGCGAUUGGAGGAGGAAAGCUGGCAGAUUGUGCCGCAAGGGAAGUCACAAUGAUAAAAUAACUAUAAAAUUACAUUUUACGGGACCGAGACGGUUUAUUGGUAGAAUGUUUAACCCUGAGUUUAUUUUAUUCUUCCAGGAUGAAGAUUCUGCAUGGGGUAACGGGACUUUAAGGAAUCUUGGUCUCCAUGUCACGUGAUCUCUCCUUUAAUUUUACGAGCCUGUUCCUUGCAUGGAUCUUCCCGUGUUGUACCUGAAAAAUUAAAGUAGCCUUACCGUUUUGCAGGAAACUGCUGUUGCGUGCCACGAAUCGGAGGAAACAACGAUCAGAGCAACGAGACGCAUUAACGUGGAGGAAAUACGUAACCCCGUGGAAGGAGCUAACGGCGGAGUACGGACAAGGGAUGCUGGAGCUGGUGGGUAGCUAAAUACAGAGAGAUUGGGACAAAUUAAGGGAAUUAUCAGGAGGACGAUUAAAGUCGAGGUCUGAUUUAAAUGGCGGCUGCCUAUCUUGUGCUCUUGGAACCCUUGACGAUGAGGGAGUCUUAGUUAAGCACCCUUAGAGGAGUCUUCCAGUUUCCGCCAUUCAAUUCUCGCGAAGUCGUAUCCCGAGCAAUUCUCAGGAGUAAUGGAGCCGUCCGGCUUUCUCUGACGCUCUCCCAUUCAGCCCUCUCCCUCGCUCUUGUAUAAAGCGUCUUAUUAUUUCUUGUACUUUACGAAAAGCUCGUAAGUCCUUAGUGGGCGAGAUUUGUGUCGGCUGGAUGCUGUAUGGAGUUUUAUAUCUCGCAAAGGGAUGACGACCCUUGGAAUAAGAUGUACACAGCGAUUGUUAUACGAUCAUCGUUUCAACUCGUCAAAGAUCUUGGUGCUUCCAUAGUCACCUGAAGUUAUGGCCUGGCAGGGACACGAGGAGCGCUGAAAACAAUUAACUCCGGGUCCCAGGAGAUGGUUUCCAGAAUCCCCAGAAAAAAAUAUCUGGUAUUUCAUAAUACGGAUGAAAAAAUCGUCGAUAGAUAUAUACUGAAUGCAUUGGGAUACGAAGCCGAAUGCUGAAUGGUGCAAGCAAGGACAGCCGAUCCGGAUCUUGGUGGUUCCUGAGCAAGCCUCUGAUUGCUGGCUGACAGAGUGGCGCUGACGUCCGUCGAGAGAGCACGAGCUACGCUUAUACCAGGCAGAACGGCCCUGC